UACGGAGGGUGCGAGCGUUGUCCGGAAUCACUGGGCGUAAAGGGUGCGUAGGCGGGUCUUUAAGUCAGGGGUGAAAUCCUGGAGCUCAACUCCAGAACUGCCUUUGAUACUGAGGAUCUUGAGUCCGGGAGAGGUGAGUGGAACUCCGAGUGUAGAGGUGAAAUUCGUAGAUAUUCGGAAGAACACCAGUGGCGAAGGCGGCUCACUGGCCCGGUACUGACGCUGAGGUGCGAAAGCGUGGGGAGCAAACAGG
rnacentral:rRNA from 1 species